GGGGAAUUUUGGACAAUGGGGGCAACCCUGAUCCAGCAAUGCCGCGUGAGUGAAGAAGGCCUUCGGGUUGUAAAGCUCUUUUGUCAGGGAAGAAACACCGGCUCUAACACAGUCCGGGAAUGACGGUACCUGAAGAAUAAGCACCGGCUAACUACGUGCCAGCAGCCGCGGUAAUACGUAGGGUGCGAGCGUUAAUCGGAAUUACUGGGCGUAAAGCGUGCGCAGGCGGUUAUACAAGACAGGCGUGAAAUCCCCGGGCUUAACCUGGGAAUGGCGCCUGUGACUGUAUAGCUAGAGUGUGUCAGAGGGGGGUAGAAUUCCACGUGUAGCAGUGAAAUGCGUAGAUAUGUGGAGGAAUACCAAUGGCGAAGGCAGCCCCCUGGGAUAACACUGACGCUCAUGCACGAAAGCGUGGGGAGCAAAC
rnacentral:rRNA from 1 species